rnacentral:rRNA from 1 species
GCUUGUCUCAAAGAUUAAGCCAUGCAUGUCUCAGUAUAAGCUUGUGCAUAGUGAAACUGCGAACGGCUCAUUAUAACAGUUAUAAUUUGUUUGGUGUUCAAGUUUACAUGGGUAACUGUGGCAAUUCUAGAGCUAAUACAUGCUGUUAAGCCUGACUUCUUGAAGGGCUGUAUUUAUUAGAUAACAGACCAAUAUUCCUCGUGUCUAUUGUGGUGACUCAUAGUAACUGAUCGGAUCGCACGGGCUUGCCCGCGACAAACCAUUCAAGUUUCUGCCCCAUCAGCUUUCGAUGGUAGUGUAUUGGACUACCAUGGCUUUUACGGGUAACGGAGGAUUAGGGUUCGAUUCCGGAGAGGGAGCCUGAGAAACGGCUACCACAUCUAAGGAAGGCAGCAGG